rnacentral:rRNA from 1 species
UUAAAGUCUAACCUGCCCACUGAAAUUUUAAAUGGCCGCAGUAUUCUGACUGUGCAAAGGUAGCAUAAUCAUUAGUCUUUUAAUUGAAGGCUGGAAUGAAUGGUUGGACGAAAUAUUAACUGUUUCAUUUAAAUUUUUUAUAGAAUUUUAUUUUUUAGUCAAAAAGCUAAAAUAAAUUUAAAAGACGAGAAGACCCUAUAAAUCUUUAUAUUUUUAUUAUUUUAAUUGUAAAGAUUAAUUUUAUUUUAAUAAAUAAAAAUAUUUUAUUGGGGUGAUAUUAAAAUUUAAAAAACUUUUAAUUUUUAAAAACAUUAAUUUAUGAAUAAUUGAUCCAUUAAUAAUGAUUAAAAAAUUAAGUUACUUUAGGGAUAACAGCGUAAUUUUUUUGGAGAGUUCAUAUCGAUAAAAAAGAUUGCGACCUCGAUGUUGGAUUAAGAUAUAAUUUUGGGUGUAGCCGUUCAAAUUUUAAGUCUGUUCGACUUUUAAAUUCUUACAUGAUCUGAGUUCAAACCGGUGUAAGCCAGGUUGGUUUCUAUCUUUAAAAAAUUAUAAUAUUUUAGUACGAAAGGACCAAAUAUUAGAAUAAUUAUAUUUUAAAAAAGAAUAUUAUUAAUAUGU